rnacentral:lncRNA from 1 species
CUCCAAGCCCUGUCCAGCCCGGCCUUGGACACUUCCAGGGAUCCAGGGGCAGCCACAGCUUCUCUGGGCACCCUGUGCCAGGGCCUGCCCACCCUCCCAGGGAACAAUUCCUUCCUGAUCUCUAAACUAAGCCUCUCCUAAUUUAAAACCAUUCCGUCUGCCAUUCCCAGGACCGUUCCUCAUGCUCAGGUCUAUGAAUUAAAUCUCUCUUUAUUGAAUCAUAGAACUGUGGAGUGUUUGCUGUUGGGGGUGGGGAACCUUAGAGAACAUCCAGUUCCAGCCCCUUGCCAUGGGCAGGGACACCUUCCACUAAAUCAGGUCACUCAGAUCCUUACCCAGCUUGGUACUGAACAUCUCCAGGGAUAGGGAGCCCACCAAGACAGGGAUGGGAACUUCUCAGAGGAACAGGAAUUCUUUCCUCUCUUAAGGUUACAAUAUUACAGGUGCUGCAGAGUGAUUAGUCAAGACUGCACAAUCUCUGCUGGUGGUGGAAGGACAAUUAAGAACUUUUUGGGUCAAGAAGAUCCUGGGAAAGGCUGUAAUUGUGGCUGAUUAGAAGGCGAGCAUCUAAACACCCAUCCCCAUGGAGAAAAGAAUGGCUCAAAGCACGAGGUGGAAUGAAAAGAGAAGCCAGCAGAGCCUGAAGAAUUUGGAUUUUCAGCAGGCUGAGUUUCUGACAAAAAGGAGCAUCAUCCUGAGAUUGCCCUCAGCAGAAACCUCUGCACACCCAACAGCAUUUAGUCCAAGAGAUGACCACUUGUGGAAGGUUUG